ACUUCAGAGAUGGGCAACUUGUGGCCCUUGAGAUGGUGAAUUCCAACUUCCAUUGACUAACCAGAACAGCCUGCAGUCAGUGAUGAAUGAAACUGUCCAACAACAUCAAAACAGCCACAGUUUAGUGCUCCUCCCUCCACAGCAUUAUAAUUUUCCAGGGCCUGACAAAAUGAAUCCAGGAGCACGCCCUGGUAUGUGUGGAGUGAGGCUGGAAAGCAACUACAGAAAAACCAGGGUUCCCUAUGAAAUCAAAACUGGGACAACUUUAUGGAAAGCACAUUGAGCAUUUUAGAGGAAGGCCAAGAUCCAAAUGUGAUUACUGCCUCCAAUGCUAACAAUAACAAGAAUAAAAUCAGUAAACACAGGAACA
rnacentral:lncRNA from 1 species